UGGGGAAUAUUGGACAAUGGGGGAAACCCUGAUCCAGCCAUGCCGCGUGCGUGAAGAAGGCCUUAGGGUUGUAAAGCGCUUUCGGCGGGGAAGAUGAUGACGGUACCCGCAGAAGAAGCCCCGGCUAACUCCGUGCCAGCAGCCGCGGUAAUACGGAGGGGGCUAGCGUUGUUCGGAAUUACUGGGCGUAAAGGGCGCGUAGGCGGUCGUAUAAGUCGGAUGUGAAAGCCCUUGGCUCAACCAAGGAACUGCGUCCGAUACUGUACGGCUUGAGGCUGGUAGAGGCUAGCGGAAUUCCUGGUGUAGCGGUGGAAUGCGUAGAUAUCAGGAGGAACACCGGUGGCGAAGGCGGCUAGCUGGGCCGGUUCUGACGCUCAUGUGCGAAAGCGUGGGGAGCAAACAGGAUUAGAUACCCGUGUAGUCCCUGAGCGGGCUGGCAAGGCGCAU
rnacentral:rRNA from 1 species